rnacentral:rRNA from 1 species
UGGGCAACCUGCCCCUCUCUCUGGGAUAACCCCCGGGGAAACCGGAGCUAAUACCGGAUACUCCGGCUGGAUCGCAUGGUCCGGCCGGGAAAGGUCCGCCGGAGAGGGAUGGGCCCGCGGCCUAUCAGCUUGUUGGUGUGGGUAAUGGCCCACCAAGGCGACGACGGGUAGCCGGCCUGAGAGGGUGACCGGCCACACUGGGACUGAGACACGGCCCAGACUCCUACGGGAGGCA